CAGACUGUUGGUUUCCAGAUGUUCCUAUAAUCAGGAGGGCAUCACAUUUGCUGAAGUCAAAGUCUGAAUCUUGAUUUGUGAUCAUAUACAAGUCUGGUUUUAUGCUUUAUCAUUCCAGAGGGAGGUGAUAACAUCAUGAAAAAUGAUUGGGCUUUCAAAUUCAUGCUUUCAAACACAACUGGAGUUUUAUUUAUUGAAUAAAUUAGCAGUUUAGGAACAUAGGUUUUAAAUGUAACAGAACGGGACACUACGGGUUACAUUCAACACCACAUUUUUGGCACGCUCUCUGCAGCCGUACUGAGUGAUAAAGACACUGGUCUUUGGGGGGGGACGAAGGUUGGCCACAAAAUUUCUCUUAAAAAUUUAAUUUUGAGCAAAGGUCAAGGAAUUAGGUUCCAACUUGAUUUGAACCAAAUGUGCCACAUGUAUUUUGCAGUGUGGCCAUCAAAUCAGAAGUAAAUUCAGAUAAAUUAGUUGAAGUGAUUGUUGUUUAUUUUUACCAAAAUAAAAAAUAGUAGUGUGUCACAAAUUUGGUGAGAUUUGGUGUCCCGCUUUUCAGAAAUAAACUCAAAAAGGAAAAAUUCCAAGAUAAUUAUGUCUUCUAUGUUAUCAGUUAUUUAAUCAAUAUAUAGAGACAAUCAUUUUAUAUUUUUUUUCCUGCACAUAGGGCUGUUCUGUUUUUACUGAUCAGUAAUGUUGGCUUGUGUAAUGGUGACCCCUUUUCAUGAAGUGACACAUGGAGGUGGGUGGUAGAAUUGCUAGGCAAGGUUCAAUUUGGCAAAUGUCUUCCUGUGUAUUUGCUGGCCUGCUUCUCCCAGGUAUUUUUGCUGAUUUCUAUCAAACUUGGUAUGUGAACGAAGGUUGGCCACAAAAUUUCCCUUAAAAAUUUAAUUUUGAGCAAAGGUCAAGGAAUUAGUAUUCCAACUUGAUUUGAACCAAAUGUGCCACACAUAUUAAUGUAUACCAGAACUGCCCUGGCAAGGCCAGACAGAGGUCAAUCAGUUGGGUGAACGUCAAGGUCAAAUGCUGAAUUGCUAUAGCCCUUAGUGUCAUUAUGCCCACGGGUGCUACUACCUCAUAAAAUAAGGAAAUAAUGGAUGUACAAUGAGUAUAAUCUGACAUUUUAUGAAGUCAUA